rnacentral:rRNA from 1 species
UACAGAGGUCCCGAGCGUUGUUCGGAUUCACUGGGCGUAAAGGGUGCGUAGGUGGCUUGAAAAGUUUGAUGUGAAAGCUCAGGGCUUAACCCUGAAAUGGCAUUGAAUACUGUCGGGCUGGAGGUUUGGAGGGGGGACUGGAAUUCUUGGUGUAGCAGUGAAAUGCGUAGAUAUCAAGAGGAACACCAGUGGCGAAGGCGGCCUUCUGGACAGUGACUGACGCUGAGACGCGAAAGCGUGGGGAGCAAACAGG